CCUACGGGUGGCUGCAGUGAGGAAUAUUGGUCAAUGGGCGGAAGCCUGAACCAGCCAAGUCGCGUGAGGGACGACUGCCCUAGGGGUUGUAAACCUCUUUUAUAAGGGAAUAAAAGAUGCUACGUGUAGCAUGAUGCCUGUACCUUAUGAAUAAGCAUCGGCUAACUCCGUGCCAGCAGCCGCGGUAAUACGGAGGAUCCGAGCGUUAUCCGGAUGUAUUGGGUUUAAAGGGAGCGUAGUCGGGUCUUUAAGUUAGUUGUGAAAGCGCGGGGCUCAACCCCUAAAUUGCAAUUGAUACUGUAAGCCUAGAGUUCAGAAGAGGUAGGCGGAAUUCGUGGAGUAGCGGUGAAAUGCUUAGAUAUAACGAAGAACUCCGAUAGCGAAGGCAGCCUACCGGACGGCGACUGACGCUGAGGCACGAAAGCGUGGGGAGCGAACAGGAUUAGAUACCCGAGUAGUC
rnacentral:rRNA from 1 species